AACGAACGCUGGCGGCAUGCCUAACACAUGCAAGUCGAACGAAGGCUUCGGCCUUAGUGGCGCACGGGUGCGUAACGCGUGGGAAUCUGCCCUUUGCUUCGGAAUAACAGUUAGAAAUGACUGCUAAUACCGGAUGAUGUCGCAAGACCAAAGAUUUAUCGGCAAAGGAUGAGCCCGCGUAGGAUUAGCUUGUUGGUGGGGUAAAGGCCUACCAAGGCGACGAUCCUUAGCUGGUCUGAGAGGAUGCUCAGCCACACUGGGACUGAGACACGGCCCAGAAUCCUACGGGAGGCAGCAGUGGGGAAUAUUGGAAAAUGGGCGAAAGGAUGAACCAGCAAUGCCGCGUGAGUGAUGAAGGCCUUAGGGUUGUAAAGCUCGUUUACCCGGGAUGAUAAUGACAGUACCGGGAGAAUAAGCUCCGGCUAACUCCGUG
rnacentral:rRNA from 1 species